rnacentral:rRNA from 1 species
AUGUUAGCUAUAGCUAAUGUAGCAGUGACGCUUUUCUGCAAACGAGCUACUGCUGUUUUUGACUUAACCGCGCGGUUCUUCUUCCCUGGCCACUUCCCCCAAAUCUCACCUCGAACUGCUGUCGCCGCCGUUGUCGCCCUGCAUUGCUGUCGGUCGCCGCGUGCUCUCCCGUCGCCCGACCCCGACCUUGACCUUGACGCCGACCCCGACCCUGACCUCGACCUCGACCUUGACACCGACCUCGGCCGACCUCUACGCCGCAUGCCCCUCCCUCGGCCGCUCCCUAACUCCGCCAGUGCCCGAGCAAUUAUUCGCGCAUCAACGCCGAUGAUGCCUAUCCCGCAUCCUCAUCGUCGACUCGGCGGAGGAGGCCUGCUUGAUCAGAGGGGCCAUGUCCGGGACUGGGCUCCGCCGGGCUGGUACUAG